AUUGAACGCUGGCGGCGUGCUUAACACAUGCAAGUCGAUCGGUAACGCGGGGGCAACCCUGGCGACGAGAGGCGGACGGGUGAGGAACGCUUGGGAAUCUGCCCUUCAGCGGGGGACAACCCGGGGAAACUCGGGCUAAUACCGCAUACGCUCCACGGAGGAAAGCCGGGGACCGCAAGGCCUGGCACUGAAGGAUGAGCCCAAGGCCGAUUAGCUAGUUGGCGGGGUAACGGCCCACCAAGGCGACGAUCCGUAGCUGGUCUGAGAGGACGAUCAGCCACACUGGGACUGAGACACGGCCCAGACUCCUACGGGAGGCAGCAGUGGGGAAUAUUGGACAAUGGGGGAAACCCUGAUCCAGCGACGCCGCGUGGGUGAAGAAGGCCUGCGGGUUGUAAAGCCCUUUCGGUAGGGACGAAAGCUCUCGACCUAACACGUCGGGAGGUUGACUUAACCUACAAAAGAAGCACCGGCUAACUCUGUGCCAGCCGCCGCCGUAAGAC
rnacentral:rRNA from 1 species